rnacentral:rRNA from 1 species
GAUGAACGCUGGCGGCGUGCCUAAUACAUGCAAGUCGAGCGAACAGACGAGGAGCUUGCUCCUCUGACGUUAGCGGCGGACGGGUGAGUAACACGUGGAUAACCUACCUAUAAGACUGAGAUAACUUCGGGAAACCGGAGCUAAUACCGGAUAAUAUAUUGAACCGCAUGGUUCAAUAGUGAAAGACGGUUUUGCUGUCACUUAUAGAUGGAUCCGCGCCGCAUUAGCUAGUUGGUAAGGUAACGGCUUACCAAGGAAACGAUGCGUAGCCGACCUGAGAGGGUGAUCGGCCACACUGGAACGAAGACACGGUCCAGACUCCUACGGGAGGCAGCAGUAGGGAAUCUGCCGCAAUGGGCGAAAGCUUGACGGAGCAACGCCGCGUGAGGGAUGAAGGUCUUCGGAUCGUAAAACUCUGUUAUUAGGGAAGAACAAAUGUGUAAGUAACUAUGCACGUCUUGACGGUACCGAAUCAGAAAGCCACGGCUAGCUACG